GUCAACAGUCAACAGGUCAACAUUCUAAUAGUCAACAUUCUAUCAGUCAACAGGUCAACACUCUUAUAGUCAACAGGUUAACACUCUUAUAGUCAACAGGUCAACAGGUCAACAUUCUUAUAGUCAACAGGUCAACAGGUCAACAGGUCAACAUUCUUAUAGUCAACAGGUCAACAGGUCAACACUCUUAUAGUCAACAGGUCAACAGGUCAACAUUCUUAUAGUCAACAGGUCAACAGGUCAACACUCUUAUAGUCAACAGGUCAACACUCUUAUAGUCAACAGGUCAACAGGUCAACAGGUCAACACUCUUAUAGUCAACAGGUCAACAGGUCAACACUCUUAUAGUCAACAGGUCAACAGGUCAACACUCUUAUAGUCAACAGGUCAACAGGUCAACAUUCUUAUAGUCAACAGGUCAACAGGUCAACAUUCUUAUAGUCAACAGGUCAACAGGUCAACAUUCUUAUAGUCAACAGGUCAACAGGUCAACAUUCUUAUUGUCAACAGGUCAACAGGUCAACAUUCUAUCAGUCAACAGGUGAUCUCAGUACUAAUACAUUAUCACAGCCCUCUGUGGAUCACCACACAUACAGUUAUACACCUGCAUGUGAAUUACACACACACACACACACACACACACACACACACACACACCGCUGUGGUAACACACUCCAGGAGCCACGCCUAACACAGUACUAGUCAGUAAGGGCGUUACUCAACAUGGAGAGGGUGUGUAUGAGUUAGCCUGCGUGUGUGUGUGUGUCUUAUUCUAGACCUGUCUGACAUCACUCGAGGUUUUACUCUUCCAGAGAAAAAUAAAUAAUAUGAACAUAUUUCCUAAAAAUAACUAUGAUAUUCUAACCUGCGGAAGAAAAAAAAAAAAACA